GACGAACGCUGGCGGCGUGCUUAACACAUGCAAGUCGAACGGAAAGGCCCUGCUUUUGUGGGGUGCUCGAGUGGCGAACGGGUGAGUAACACGUGAGUAACCUGCCCUUGACUUUGGGAUAACUUCAGGAAACUGGGGCUAAUACCGGAUAGGAGCUCCUGCUGCAUAGUGGGGGUUGGAAAGUUUCGGCGGUUGGGGAUGGACUCGCGGCUUAUCGGCUUGUUGGUGGGGUAGUGGCUUACCAAGGCUUUGACGGGUAGCCGGCCUGAGAGGGUGACCGGCCACAUUGGGACUGAGAUACGGCCCAGACUCCUACGGGAGGCAGCAGUGGGGAAUAUUGCACAAUGGGCGGAAGCCUGAUGCAGCAACGCCGCGUGCGGGAUGACGGCCUUCGGGUUGUAAACCGCUUUCGCCUGUGACGAAGCGUGAGUGACGGUAAUGGGUAAAGAAGCACCGGCUAACUACGUG
rnacentral:rRNA from 1 species